rnacentral:rRNA from 1 species
UUGAAAGGGAAACGAUUGAAGUCAGUCAUACCAACGGGAAAUCAACCUUUUGAGCUCGGUCUCGUGGGUUUUGAAGAGUUUCAAAGCCUUCGGAUUCGCGGGAUUGGGAUCUCUCGGUGUACUUUCUCGUACGGUUAAUCAACAUCGGUUUUGAAUGUCAUAAAAUGACUGGAGGAAUGUAGCUUCGAUCUCGUAUUGAAGUGUUAUAGCCUUUGGUAGAUGUGAUGUUUGAGACCGAGGAUUGCAACGGAUACCCUUCAGGGCUAUUCGUCUGAUCUCUGAUACGUUGCCCUGAUGUUGAAAGCUUGCUUAUGAUGUUAGGGUAUUACGGUCAAAAGGUUAGAACGAAUUACAUUCGUUAAGGAUGUUGACGUA